GGCGGCGGCGGCGGCGGGCGGGGCUCGGCUCGGGCUCCGCGGGCGGGCGGGCGGACAUGGCGGCCAACAUGUACCGGGUCGGAGAUUAUGUCUACUUUGAGAAUUCCUCCAGUAACCCGUACCUAAUCAGAAGGAUAGAAGAACUCAACAAGACUGCAACUGGCAACGUGGAAGCAAAAGUAGUGUGCUUUUAUAGACGACGAGAUAUUUCGAACACGCUUAUAAUGCUUGCAGACAAGCAUGCUA